UCGAAAACAACCUCGGAUGUAUUUGGAUGGUUUACACCCUCAAAAAGUGGUACGUUUAAGUCCGCUGCAAGUAGAUCGCGUAGUAAUUUUAUUUAGCAGUUAAACUUUGUGACUUUACUCUUGGGAUUCUUCAUUAUGUUUGCUAAAAUACAAUUCAAUGAGAAUAAAUUUAAACUUAGAUCAAUAAAUACGACUCUAAAACAUUACAUUUAAAUAAUGAUAUAAUUCAAAAUUUUACGAACUACUUCAACAGAUGUACCGGCAUACAUCCGAGGUUGUUUUCAAUAAAAUGGCCGAGGAGCUCCGAAUGACACAAUAUGGCGGCGAUUAUGCGGAAAUGAAAUUGAAUGUUACUUCGAACACGUUCUUCUACAAAAUAACGGACCUGUAGUUAGUGUUAUUGCUUUAACAUCAAUCGAAGCAAAAAUGGCAUCAAUGUAUGCGUCUAAAAAUGUUAAAUUUAGAUGGAGACAAUCCAGAAAUGAGCUGUGAGGAAGUGAUCGAUUUCGGACACGAAGAUUGAGAAGUGCCUGGAUACAAGGCUAGUAUUGUUAACAUCAUCUGAUACAAUCAACUGGAACAAAGCUGAAAUGGCUGCCUGACCUGACUUAAAAAUUGGAUGGCAGUACAUCAGACUAGAAGAUUACAAGUAUUGAGUUGGACAAAAUGAAACCUGAGCCUACCAAAGCUGACAGAUUGCACAAGAAACACAUAAUUGCAGCUAUUUACUGAGAUAUUGUAAUUAUUUUUUGAAACUUCUCAUUCAUUUAGGAAGUUCAGUUGAAACAGAGUUGGCAAAAAAAAUGAACAAAGAAACCAUAUUGAGGAGCUGGUCCACCUGUAGGAAGAAUUGCGCUAUUGGUUGGAGCAGCACUAUUACCCAGCCAUACACCAGCACUUAGUUUGUCAUAGGGAGCAUUUCUGAGCAGUUAUGGAGACCACUAACUAUGCAGUUGUUGCAGUGAAACUUGCACCAGUGUGUUUUCUGUGUGGAGAUAAAGAGAUAGUGUCCAGCAAUGAAGACCCAACUCAAGAUCUGACCUUGUAAGGCCAAUAUGAAAUAACUGUGUGAGAAAAUGGGAAAAACCUGCAGUCAGGAAUGCACGGAAAUCAUCAAAAGAACAGUGUUAAAUUAAUCUUGAAUAACUUGACAUUUAUUUUGUUUGACAUAUUUAUUCAUGGUGCAGUGAAAACAUUCUUUUUUUCUCAUGGUUAUUUAAAUUUAGAAUUGAUAGGAGGGAACAUCACUAUGUAGUUUCAUGUUCAUAGAUCAAAACCCAUGUACAUGCCCAAAUGAGCAUUCGAAAAUAUCAAAAUGGUACUUGUUGUAUGUAAUGUAAGUUAAUUAACAUAAUAAACAAAAAUAUUUAA